AGCAGCAGCAGCGCUGUACUCUUUAUUCCUCUCAGGAGGUAGAGUACAAGCAGCACUGUAGCCAUGGAAAUACAGCACUGUAUGUCCCUUGCCAGUGUGGACGGGGAGUGAGUUACAGCGCUGUAAAGCAACAACCAGCGCUGCAA